GGCAGAGGAAGAGGAGAAAGAGGGGCAGGGGAAGCCAGUGGAUAGGGCUGGCAGGGCAGUGUGCAUGUCCCCUCCCAGAAUGCCAGGUGUGGCCAACAGCCUGAGGACCAGGUCUGGUCUGUAUGUGUCCUCCCAUGGCAAGGGUGGGUGGUCUCGGCUGGGGACAUGUGAGGGCCAAGUCGCAGCCUCCGUCAGCCUCCUGCUACCCUGGAC